CAUCAACUAUGAUGAUUUUCUUAGAGCCGCACGCACGCAACAUUGAAAGGCACAGCGUGUGCUUUCCCUGUCCGACAAGACUGGGUAACCCGUUGAACCUCCGUCGUGCUGGGGAUAGGAGCUUGUAAAUAUUCCCCUUGAACGAGGAAUUACCACUAAGCACGAGUCACAAGGUCGUGUUGAUUACGUCCCUG
rnacentral:ncRNA from 1 species